UGGGGAUCCUAGCACUAAAGUGUGACCUGUUGGGAAUUCAAAGUGAAUUUCAAAUGUUUGGCCUGAAUGGCUAAACUGAAAACAGCUAACUUUGCAAUUCAGCUAUUUGGGACUAAGAUUUUCAGUUGAUUUUGAAUUCCCUUACAAACACAUGCACCUACUUAAAGCUCAAAUUCCAGUGACAAUGCAAAAUCAGUGCUCCCUCGCCAUGCCAAUACCGCCAAUAGCCUGAAUGAAUAGACGCCGCGAGCUGUGCUGAAACUUGGAGGUGAGGGGGGGUGGCUGUAAGCAAGAUGCCCAUAAUCUCCGGCUCUGAUCGGGCCUCCCUACUCCAGCCAACAGGGAGGUCAAAAGAUCUUCCUUUGCAAUUGAGUCCCCUGGAGCAGCCACAC